AGUUAUUGCCAGGGUUUUUAUUUGUACUUUAAAUAUUGAGUUCAAUUUUUAAAUGUUCAUAUUUUUGAAUGCUUUAUUCAAAUAAUGUAAAAAAUAAAAUAGAUAUUGACAUGGAUUGAACAAAGAUAUAUAUUAUUCUAUGUUGCUAAACAAAUUGG
rnacentral:misc_RNA from 1 species